rnacentral:ncRNA from 1 species
AUUAAAGUUGUUGCAGUUAAAAAGCUCGUAGUUGAACUUCAGACCUGGCCGGGCGGUCUGCCUAACGGUAUGUACUGUCUGGCUGGGUCUUACCUCUUGGUGAGCCGGCAUGCCCUUCACUGGGUGUGUCGGGGAACCAGGACCUUUACCUUGAGAAAAUUAGAGUGUUCAAAGCAGGCCUAUGCCUGAAUACAUUAGCAUGGAAUAAUAAAAUAGGACGUGCGGUUCUAUUUUGUUGGUUUCUAGAGUCGCCGUAAUGAUUAAUAGGGAUAGUUGGGGGCAUUAGUAUUCAGUUGCUAGAGGUGAAAUUCUUGGAUUUACUGAAGACUAACUACUGCGAAAGCAUUUGCCAAGGAUGUUUUU